ACGAGAAAGCGGGGGCAACUCCGCGAGUACAGUGGCGACCGGGUGAGUAACACGUGACUAACCUGCCCUCGAGCGGGGGAUAACCCCGGGAAACCGGGGCUAAUACCGCAUAACAUCCUUGAUACGAAAGUGUUGAGGAUCAAAGGAGCAAUUCACUUGAGGAGGGGGUCGCGGCCGAUUAGCUAGUUGGUGGGGUAAUGGCCCACCAAGGCUGAGAUCGGUAGCCGGCCUGAGAGGGCGCACGGCCACACUGGAACUGAAACACGGUCCAGACUCCUACGGGAGGCAGCAGUGGGGAAUUUUGCGCAAUGGGGGGAACCCUGACGCAGCAACGCCGCGUGGAGGAUGAAGUCCCUUGGGACGUAAACUCCUUUCGACCGGGAAGAUAAUGACGGUACCGGAAGAAGAAGCACCGGCCAACUCUGUGCCAGCAGCCGCGGUAAUACAGAGGGUGCGAGCGUNGUUCGGAAUUAUUGGGCGUAAAGGGCGCG
rnacentral:rRNA from 1 species